GGCCCUUUAAGAAGCAGCAUUUCUUGUUCCUUUAUGAGAAGCCCUCAUCUCUGCAUAUGGGAAUAGCAUGGCAACAAACUGCUGUUCUUAGGACACUGGGAGAAGUGUCCAUUAGUUUGUUCUGUGUAUCUGAGGAACAGCCUAUUUUCCUUGGUAAGACUUUCCUACCAUCUCAAGGAAAUGAACAAAGGUGAUACGCUCUGAUACGAGGAAAUACCAUGACGUCUUUCUGCACUUUCCAACAAAAGCCCUGCCAUAAUCUCAGACCCCAGCUCCAGCAUGCCGUCUCUUCUUGCUCCUUGGGCCUGUGUGCUCGCUGGUUGCAUUUUUGUUUCUUCAGCAGAAGUUUUCAGUCUCUCAGAUCAGUAUCCCCCACUGUGGAAUGAGAGUCCUGGUCAGUUCAGUGACUACAGUAUGGAGAAUGGAAAGUACAUUAUUGAUCCCUGGGUAUACCCUAAGAGAAUGGGCAUGUACAAAAUCCUCCUGAACAAGACAGCCAGUUAUUUUGAAAAAUUCGCACCAGAUAACGAACAAAAUUUUUUAUGGGGAUUACCUUUGCAGCAUAGCUGGCAGUUUAUAACAGGCAGAUUGGUUGAUCCCACCCGAACGACAGACUGUGGCUAUGAAUCUGGAGAUCAUUUGUGCAUCUCUGUAGACAGUUGGUGGGCUGACUCCAAUAGUUUGGAACAUCAGCCUGCUACCCUGGGGCGGAGGACUGCAUUCAAAAUGCAUGCCUAUGAUGAAAAGUGUUCUGCAUCACCAGUGGUAAUCAGUACAGCAAGUUUUACAGUCAACGAUAUCGACAUGAAUUACUUUCUGUGUGCACUGCCCUUCCUUGCUGCGGUGGAUUCUGGCAUAAUGGGGAUAUCAUCAGAUCAAGUGCUGCUUUUGCCACCACCCAAGGACCAGACAAAGUUUUGUCUUAGUGUUUCUAGCUGUCAGUCCUCCUUUCCUUUGACGAUGAGGAAGUGGAAUGCCCUUUACAAGCAUUUGCAGUCACCUUCUAGCAGCUUCGAGGACUUACUGAAGUACUUGUGGGAGGCACAUGUCUCAAGCUUGAAAGACGGUUACAAAAUUUUUGAAGACAGGUUAGACUAUUAUUCUAAACCAGAAGCAGAUUUUGGGAAAGAUUGGUGCGUGGUUUUGGACUAUCUAGCUGCAGCCAGCUUUCCCACGAUCUUUAGUACGGUAUCUGAGUUCCAGAAGGCCCUGCCACCAAGAGUGCUUGUGGAUGGGGACAGAGCUCCCUUCAUCAGCGACUUUACUGACCUUCAGAACAUAGUCCUGCUUGGUCUAAAGCUUCUUCAUGAAGUGGAUAGCGCGACAGGUUCACUAUCUUUAGCUAUAUGGAAAAUUUUAAUGAAGACACAGGCUGCAAAGACGCUACUUCUGGAGUUUUUUGAAGCAGUUCUUGCCAUCUUUAAUCCAACAUUUCUGGGAUGA
rnacentral:lncRNA from 1 species